AUGUUUAGCAGUUUCCCUGGUCUCCACCUACCAGAUGCCAGUUGCACCUACCAAGUUCUGACACCCAAAAUGUCUUCAGACAUCGCCAAAUGUCCCCUGGGGGACAAAAAUCAACCCUGGUUGAGAACCACUGGGUUGGAAUACAAGCCUGAAAAACCGCUCCCAGUCUGCCAGAAGGUCAAGACCACAGUGACCUCUGGACUCCAGCCCCUGGCUAAGAAUGCAAUCUACCUGUCCACGGGCCAGUGUGAUGCAAGAUGUCAAGGGAUGGUGAUCACUGAGAGACCAAAGAUUUCCUCUGAAUUUGCCUGGAUUUUCACACUUGAUUGUUCACUGUCAAAAGGAAGAACAGGUGUACCUACAGCAACCUGGCUGCAGAAAUCUACAUUCUCCUUAUUCUGAGAAACCCCCCAAAAUACUACCACCAAAGUAGAAACCAAAUUUAUCCUGAAUUGACAUGUACCCCCUAACCCCAGCCCAACUCCAUACUCCUCUCUGUCAAGGAAGCAAAAUCAAUUUCCUUUGCUUUAGAUACCAGCAUGUAGGCUUGUGGACUUCCAAAUGCUGUCUUCCAAGAACUUGGAGUUUAAACACGAUCCCUUGGGUGAUAUGUCCAAAGAAGUUCUCACUGAAAUUCCCCGCAUCGUAAAAUGUCAGGAUGUCUGCGGUCUUUAUUUAUAGACAGAUUGCUUUUCAACUUUUCUCACUCCAACAUUUCAAUGUGUUAUUCCUGAAGAUAAAUGCAC
rnacentral:lncRNA from 1 species